rnacentral:rRNA from 1 species
AGUGAACGCUGGCGGUAGGCCUAACACAUGCAAGUCGAACGGCAGCACAGUAAGAGCUUGCUCUUACGGGUGGCGAGUGGCGGACGGGUGAGGAAUACAUCGGAAUCUACUUUUUCGUGGGGGAUAACGUAGGGAAACUUACGCUAAUACCGCAUACGACCUACGGGUGAAAGCAGGGGAUCUUCGGACCUUGCGCGAUUGAAUGAGCCGAUGUCGGAUUAGCUAGUUGGCGGGGUAAAGGCCCACCAAGGCGACGAUCCGUAGCUGGUCUGAGAGGAUGAUCAGCCACACUGGAGCUGAGACACGGUCCAGACUCCUGCGGGAGGGAGCAGUGGGGAAUAUUGGGCAAUGGGCGCGAGCCUGAUCCAGCCAGACCGCGUGGGUGAAGAAGGCCUUCGGGUUGUAAAGCCCUUUUGUUGGGAAAGAAAAGCAGCAGGUUAAUACCCCGCUGUUCUGACGGUACCCAAAGAAUAAGCACCGGCUAACUUCGUG